UUAUAAUGAAUUUCAUUCAGUCAGGACUUUACGCUGACUCUAGCCACAUGCAAAACAGGUAGAUUCUAAUUAAGCAUUGAUUAAUGCCUGAUAUUAAAAUUAAUUAACUGGACUUGUAGCCAUUAUUUUGGCC